UUCCUGGAAGACUAGUGGUGAGGCCAUGGGGCUCUCACCGCUGUGGCCUGGGUUCGAAUCCCGGCCAGGGAA